rnacentral:lncRNA from 1 species
GGCAAACCUGCUUGCGCGGUGGUUUUGAGGCCAAACUACCCAAACCAUCCAUCUUCGCUUGGCUACCACGCGACCUCCUCGAUGUUGAUGCGUGCCCAGCCUCCGCCAAGCCUCCUGCCUGACUCGUCCAAUAUUGUCUCCAUCCCGCCAUGUCCUCUUGCUUUUUCGUGCACCAUGUGGACCUCCCAUGACUCCGCCUGGUUUCUUCAGGUCCAUCGGUCCAAGCCUACUCGCGUUCAUCCUUCAUCGCCCUUGGUCCAUCGGCAUGAACCUUUCAUUUGACCUUCACCGCGCACCAUCGGCCGCCACACCGCAUCCAACACCUGCACAUCACAAGCCAAGAGCAACAUCAAACCAACACAACGUUAUCAAUCACUCAUCAUUCCAGGGUGACCACCAUUGGUCCUCAAUCUCCCCCUUGAUGAGUGCAUUAACAACACCCCACAAAUUUAUAGUUUGAAAAAGAAAACAAGAAUCUCGAAAAGAAAAUCUCAGUCCCCUAAGAUAAGGGCAACAGCUCUACACGACUGAGAUAAAAUCAUGUGAUCCCUCAAGAAGAGACAGAAAACGAGCUCAACACCAAUCACAUGAAAAUCCAAACUCAAAUCACACACCGGCUCCUCAAGAAGAGGUAAGCAGCUCAACGCGACUGGCAAAAGACACAGGAGCAUAAAAACUCAUAGAGACUCCCCCUGAACAAAUGCACUCCCCCUGAAACCAAGACAUGCAAAGGCAAAGUUCUCCCCCUUGUGAAACCAAAGCAUGAAUUUGUGUGCAAUUCUCCCAAAAUUCUCCAAAUAUCUCC